rnacentral:rRNA from 1 species
AACGAACGUUGGCGGCAUGGAUUAGGCAUGCAAGUCGAGCGAGAAGUGUAGCAAUACACGGAAAGCGGCGGAAGGGAGAGUAAUACGUGGGAAUCUGCCCUUAGACCUGGGAUAGCAGCGGGAAACUGCUGGUAAUACCAGAUAAUGUCUAUGGACCAAAGGUGUGAUUCCGUCUAGGGAUGAGCCCACGUCCUAUUAGCUAGUUGGUAGGGUAAUGGCCUACCAAGGCGAUGAUGGGUAGCGGGUGUGAGAGCAUGACCCGCCUCACUGGGACUGAGACACUGCCCAGACACCUACGGGUGGCUGCAGUCGAGAAUCGUCGGCAAUGGGCGCAAGCCUGACCGAGCGAUGCCGCGUGCGGGAUGAAGGCCUUCGGGUUGUAAACCGCUGUCGAGGGGGAGCAACUUCCAUAGAGUUAUCUUUAUGGAUUGAGUGAUCCCUGGAGGAAGGACGGGCUAAGUUCGUGCCAGCAGCCGCUGUAACAC